CUUUAGCCGAGUGGAUAAAGUGUCGGACUUGUGAUCCGUAUAUCCCGAGUUCGAAUCCCGCAAG
rnacentral:tRNA from 1 species